GGGGGAGGCACUUUCACAAAUACAAUAAUCUUCAUAGGAAUCUCUUGCUUUCUCUGAUGAUGAGACAGAAAGCUCAGCAGAUUCAUCAGUCCAGAGGCAUCAGCUGAAAACACAACAUGCAUACCAGAGAGAGAUAAAAGGGAACAUCGUUUUGCCUCUGCAUUUUGAAAUAUGAAGAAAAAAUAGUCAGAUUUAAUGGGAUCUCCGCUGCAGCCUUCACUGGAUGCAUACAUGCGAUGCUUAUUUGACCUUUCUGUGAUAUUAACUGAAAUUUCUGAGGGUGACUUUUUUGUGCCUUUCACCUAGUGGUUGCAACUUUCAAUCCUCACUUGAUAGCCCAGUUGUUUAAUGUUUCUGUUGGCUCUCUGGAUGUUAUUUAAAUUGCAACACAUGUAGAAAGCAGCUAUCAACAGAAGGCAAGUUUGCCUGUGAAGUGCUGUGUACAUUUCAUAAUACUGAUAUUGCUUGGUCCUUUGAAUAUGUACUGAACUUCUGUUGGUUAACAUAUUCCUAAAUUAGAUGAUCCCUAAGAUGAGCAUGCACAACUGCCUGGUCUUUAUAGUCAAGAUGAGUGCACCAAGUAGUGUUGAA